rnacentral:rRNA from 1 species
UACGGAGGGUGCAAGCGUUAUCCGGAUUCACUGGGUUUAAAGGGUGCGUAGGUGGGCAAGUAAGUCAGUGGUGAAAUCUCCGGGCUUAACCCGGAAACUGCCAUUGAUACUAUUUGUCUUGAAUACUUUGGAGGUAAGCGGAAUAUGUCAUGUAGCGGUGAAAUGCUUAGAUAUGAACAUAGAACACCAAUUGCGAAGGCAGCUCACUACGGAUUAUUGACACUGAGGCACGAAAGCGUGGGAUCAAACAGG